CGGUAGCUUAGUUGGUGAAGCACUCGUGUAGCAUACAAGAGUCGUGGGUUCGAAUCCCACCUG
rfam:Aedes aegypti strain Liverpool supercont1.1 genomic scaffold, whole genome shotgun sequence.